UACGUAGGGGGCAAGCGUUGUCCGGAAUCAUUGGGCGUAAAGCGCACGUAGGCGGAUUGUUAAGUCAGGGGUGAAAUCCUGGAGCUCAACUCCAGAACUGCCUUUGAUACUGGCAAUCUCGAGUCCGGAAGAGGUGAGUGGAACUCCUAGUGUAGAGGUGGAAUUCGUAGAUAUUAGGAAGAACACCAGUGGCGAAGGCGGCUCACUGGUCCGGUACUGACGCUGAGGUGCGAAAGCGUGGGGAGCAAACAGG
rnacentral:rRNA from 1 species